UAACAAGCUGCAAGCAGCACUUGGAAAAGGAAAAACAAAGAAUACAAAGCAAGUAUGAGAGCACACAGCAAAGAAUAAGAAACAAUUUAAAGGUCUAAACAAAUACUGAAGUAACUUAAAUAGCAGACAACACUGACACUCAAGAAUUGGGGUCCACUACCUUAUUCUCUCAAUAAAUGACAGUAAAGUGAAUCAGAGAUAAAAGAAAGAGUCUCUUCUAUCAUGAGGUGGCAGAGAAGCCCUUAAAGAGCACAGACUACCUCAUAUCGCUGGGCCCUCAGCCGUGUGCACCGUGUAAGGGCUCUAUAAAUACUCAGUUACUGAUAGCACACCUCGUUGAAG